rnacentral:lncRNA from 1 species
AAGGGAAAAGGGAAAAGAGAAAAGGGAAAAGGGAAGGGAAGGGAAGGGAAGGAAAGGAAAGGGAAGGAAGAGAGCAGCUGUUUCCAUUGCCAUUGCUGAGAAAUAAUGGCUGAAGGGUUUUUGUUCUUUCUUUCCCCAGUGAUUAUAUUUAAAAUGUAUCCAGGACAUAACAUGACUUUAGAUAUGUGGUGUAUGGCCCGAAAUCGUUUGUGUGUGUGCAGACUCAAUUUCAAAAAUUCUUAAUUAUUCAGGAAAGAGAACGAUUCUGAAGUAAGCUCUGUGUUUCUUACAGGAAAGCAUGAGGGGGAUGUGGUUAAGAUAAUGCUGGCCAGCUGCCUGUUUUAAGGUAGCAUCAUGCUGUGUAGCCCAAGCUGGCCUUGAACUUAGGGGAUCCUCCUCCCUCAGUGACUGCAGGUGUGCUGCCACCACACCUGGUUCCCAAGGGGCCUUCUAAGAAGAUUAGCUCUUUCAGAGACCACCGUGGAUGUGAGAAAGAGCUGAGUUAGAAUUUUGGCAGUUUUACUAUUUGCAACAGACAGUUAAAAAGGUCUGUCUCAUGUCAUUGAUUAUGUAUUUGUACAAGAAUUUCCAAGCGACACCUUUCUGUUAUAUUAGUUGUCAUUCAUUUGGGCCUUAUUAUUUGGUUUGAAAAUAUUUUAAUAGCAAAACUGUUGCUUAAAAUUGAACACAUUUUAGUGACUUGCUGGUCACUGUCUUCACUAGAUUUGUUUUCUAAUUGUCAUUUCCAUGGAAAGGACAGUCAUUUUCAAAGCUGUCCAUUACGUAUUCUGGAAAGCAGACAAUUAUUAUGACUACUUUUACAUAAAGUUAAAGCAUCUCUGGGUUUUCUUCCCCUGCAGUAUUGUAUUUUUGAAUGCUUUGAGUUUCUGUAGCUCCAGAAAUGACUUUAGUAGCCUUCAUUGACUUUCGAUUUUCCAACUUGAAAAGCUGGAGUGCGGGGGUGUGGGGUGUGGGGGGGGCGUGGGGGGUCUCUUUAGUGUUCCUAUGAGGUGGAAUUCUUGCAUGUGGUGGUAGUUUGAGAUUUAUGCAGAUGGUGGGUAUUAGGAGAGAAGUUGGGCUGAUUUUGUAAGAAUCUCCCUUAAAGAGAUCCUGGCGGAAUACUGAGGAAUUUUAGCCACUAUCCAGAGGCCUGUGUGGCGAUCGGCAGCCGGCCCUUGGCAGAUGGUGUCUGAAGUGGGGGAAAGCAGACUUGUCCUAGGGAGUCCUCUGCCCACAGUGGGACACAGUGGGGCCCCUGCUCCUGUGGCUGCAUGGCACGUUGUCACUCGAAGCUGACCUCAAGAAUGACUGGUUGAGGUUAUUUUUAGACGUAAUGACAGCGUAGCACUUUGGGCCUCGGGCGUUAUUUCUAGACUGGAGAGUAAUGUUAUUUUAUUUUUAAGAAGUAGAAUUUCAGGCUUUUAAGUGGGCUUUUGGGUAAAGAUUUCUGAAGUUUUUCCAGUAAUUGAGACUUUGUGAGCAGAAAGGAGAGGGAGAAAAGCAGAAGCCCCCUGUCCCUCCUGACCGCCUCUGUGGCUCGCAGUGUCCCUAGGUGGGCACAUUGUCCCCGUCCUGUCCCUUAUUCCGAGAGUCUCCUGAUAG